UACGGAGGGUGCAAGCGUUAUCCGGAUUCACUGGGUUUAAAGGGUGCGUAGGUGGCUUGGUAAGUUUGAUGUGAAAUCUCCGGGCUUAACCCGGAAAUGGCAUUGAAUACUAUUGAGCUGGAGGUUUGGAGGGGGGACUGGAAUUCUCGGUGUAGCAGUGAAAUGCGUAGAUAUCGAGAGGAACACCAGUGGCGAAGGCGAGUCCCUGGACAACACCUGACACUGAGGCACGAAAGCUAGGGGAGCAAACAGG
rnacentral:rRNA from 1 species